AGGCCACUGCACUGUCCCAAGAGGCCGGGUCCCAGGUGUCUGGCUCCCUCUGUUCCCCUCUGCGUCUUCCUCCUGCAGCCCCAGGGCCUACCCUGGGGUCCUUGGUGGGUGGACGGGUGGCAGGGGGCGUGGCCAGAGGCCUCCUAGAGCUCACGCCAGGCCUUCUCCGACAGGAGGCUCGGGAGGGGAGCAGGGAGCAGGUGGACAGACCUGACCCCUCACAUUCCAAACACAGCCCCGCCCCCUGCCCGCGGGUGGUGAGCCAGGCCCCCCAGCUCUCCUGCCCUGCCUCCCCGCACACCUCUCCGCCCACCAGCCCUGAGCUCUGACCAGGAGGCAGGCAGGACGGGACGUGGGAUGAAGUCCCAGGCACUGUCCCUUCGCCUUUGGGUUGUGGGCCCAGCUCUGCCUGUCCCGGCCGAGGGAGUGACCAGGGGAGCAGGGGGCGGGCAGGACGGGCCCAGGGCACUGGCUGGGCUGGAGAUACCCUCUCAGGCCCCCGCCCCAGAGUCUCCUUCCCCUGUGAUGCCAACGGAACGGAUGAUGGAGCGAUGGGGAGGCUUGGUGGCCUGAGUCACUCUCCGCCCAGGGGGACCACACCUCAGCUCCGGGGCCUGGCCCCAGGUGCCUCUGCAGCUCCGCAGAGAAGAGCUGCGCCCUGAUGGACACCCCGGGGAUCCCCGCUGCGAGGGAGCUCCCGCGCCCACUACCUGGAAUGGGCCUGGCACCCAGCCCACGGCAGCUGGUGUUUGUUGACUGACUGACUGGCCGGCUCUGCGGUCCCUCUCUCUUCUCUCCGGCCAACUCCUCCAUGAACCCCUCCUCUCCGCGGCCACUCAGCUUUGUGACACGGAUUUCACCAACAGUGACCCUUCCCGGAACCAUAGCCUCACCAGACACAGCGGUAAAGUCGUGCUGUCUGGAUCCCUGUGCCCCUCACAGAACCCUGCCUGGCCCUGGGGGUCGGCUCCCAACUGCUCUGCCCUCUGGGGUUGCUCAGGGGUGUCUAUCCCACAGCCCGCCUGUGCCCCCCUGGCACAGAGCCAGAUGUGAGGGUCAGCCCACAAGCCACUGGGCACCCUCAAUUUGACAGAAAGGAAACAGCUCGCUGAGGUCAAAGAGGCCGGAGGUCACUGAGCCAGGCCUGGAACAUUCUCCUGAGAGAAGGCUACCCCGACCAGCCCGCCCUGGGAUCCCGCGUGGACACCAAACAGAAGCCAUCCUAACCCCACCCCAAACAGUAACCCAGGGACACGGAAAGGACGGUGACGGGAGCACCCCUGUCCUCUCCCAGCACGAGGGGCAGCAGUCCCUCCACCCGGACGCACUUGCCGUGGCACCUGGCCUGCCCCCUCUGGGGGAGGAGGGCUGGGAGCCAGAGCCCCAGGGGUGGACGCACCCCGGACGCACUCGCCUCUGCUCCAGUCGCGCUGGAGGCAGGGAGGCAGCAGGGCCCUGAGCCAGGUGGCCCUGUCCCCACAGGGCCAGCACUGCCCUGGCCUGCCCAGCAUCUGGUCUCGGAGACGCACUGAUGACCUGACCUCCCUCACCCCCUGGAGCGCGGCACGACCCAGUCAGAGCCUGCACGCCCUUGUUGGGCCGGCCAUUCGGACCCGACACACGCUGGAGCUGCCGAAGCCAGGUGGGCCUGGGGCCUGGCUCCCGCUGUGAGUUCCUAUCAUGCGAGCCAAUCACAUAACCCCCGCCUGGCCAGUGUGGCUCAGGGAUUGAGCGUCGAUCUAUGACCCAGGAGGUCACGAUUCGUUUCCAGUCAGGGCACAUGCCCGGGUUGUGGGCU